AUGGAGAACAUGCUGGAAUGUACGUUCAUAGUUUUGUGGCUUCAGCUUGGCAGGUUGAGUGGAGAAGACCACGUGGAGCAGAGUCCUCAGACCCUGAGACUUCAGGAGGGAGACAGUAUCAGCCUUAACUGCAGUUACACGGUCAGCUACUCUAAAGGGCUACAGUGGUAUAGGCAGGAUCCCAGGCAAGGCCCGGAAGUCCUCUUCCUCCUAUAUUCAGUUGGUGAUAAGAAGCAGAAAGAAAGACUAAAAGCCACACUAUUAAAGGAGGGAAGUUCUCUGCACGUCGAAGCCUCUAAACCUGAAGACUCAACCACUUACCUCUGCGCUGUGGAGACGCAGUGCUCCCAGGCAGCCCCAGCCUGCACCCAAACCCUGCAGGUGUACUCUGGAAUAAGGGCAUCUCUGCUGUUUCUCCUCCUCAAAGAAGUACUUACUUAG